CCCAAUGCAGGGCUUGAACUUGUGAACCUCGAGAUCAUGACCUGAGCCAAAGUUGGCCACUUAGCCACCUGAGCCACUCAGGCACCCCUCACAUUUGAUCCUUACAACAGAUCCUGGAAGUAUCACACAGUGGCUAUAGCAAGGAGGGCUUGAACUGAACUAUGUCUGCAUGGAGCGCAACCAAAGAAGAGUCAAGUGUGCAAAAGAAUAACAAGUCAAUGGUGUUCUCCAGGGCUGUCCAUUAGAGAGCAUAGACUCAGAUGAAGAAACUCAGAAAAGUCACUUAACCAACCCCAAGCAUGCACAGCUAGGAAGAGCUGAUAUGAAAGAAAAAUACGUGUGAACAAAACGUAAAAGGAUUAAUUUAGCAUCAUAUCCCGUGAUUUCAAUGUGGGGCGAAGUGUGGGAGCUUAAUAAGUCAGUGACCCAUCUGAGCUGGCAUCAGAGGAAGGAUCAGGGUGCUCAAAAGAAGGGCCUUGGAUGAUGGCCUCCAAGGCACCCUCUUUCUGUGAAAGGGAGCAAGAGGAAUCAGUCAAGUUUCCUCACUGUGAUGGGCCGAGGAGCUCUGUGUAUUCCCUGUGGAUAGUGGCCUGCCACUGGAGAGGCCACAGGCUGGAGCAAGGAGCUGACUCAUAGGGUAAGGAGAAAAUGGCCUGGAUCUUUCACAGAGGUAAGCAGUGUCCAAUUGCACUGGGGGGAGGAGGGAGAGGUUAUGACAAAGAAAGCCGUAUCUAUUCCACUGAGCAAUUAAUGCCAUUAUUUUUCUUCAAAAAGCAUUUUCUCUUAAGCCAUCGAGGAUAAUUUAGCCUCCAUCUUGACAGAAUGUACUAAUGACUGCUAAUGGAUACAUUCUUUUAAUAAAUGAAGAGGCACAAGAAAAUUGUCUGAUAUUAAACAGAGUCCCACAUGUCUUAUCGGAGUCUAUAAUGGCCCUAUCAAGUGACCUAAAUGAAAGAAAUGUGACUCUUCAGGGGUUAAAGAAGUCUAUUUUUUCUUAGUGCAAUAUAAAUUCGCUGCUAGGGAGAACAGUAAUUCAUUGGUCUAUCCUAAGAAAUGUUUAAAAGGGGGGCCAUAUCUCAAGUUAAAUGAUGCAUUUCCUAUUGGUAGCGAAGAAAAUAUGAAAUAGAACCUCUGUGCAGUGUGGAUAUAUAUAAAUAGCCUCUUAUCUGGCAAUAGAGCCCAAAACUCUUUUGGGUCUUUGAUCCUUGGAAUUUUUAGCCCAGAAGUUGAAGAGCCUGGUAAUUUGUUAUUAAUUUUGUCCAAUUUUUUUCAAUACCUUCCAGGGUGCUUUUUGUUGGUUGGUAUGAUUUGGUAAUUUUAAACUCUAUUCUUGGAAAUGUUUCUCCAGAUUCAAGUAAUUCCUAGUACUCUACCUUCAGUGGGACACUUCUAAAAAUGAAUAAAGAAUUCCAACAAAUCAAUAAGAAAAAGACAAACAACCCAAAAGAAAAAUGGAUAAAAGAAAUGAACCAGAAAAUCAAAGAAGAAGAAAUGGCCAAUAAUGAUAUGAAAAGAUGAAUGAUCUGUAUUAUAGUCUUUUGCAACUUGCUGUUUGCAAUACAACACUAUGACUCUAAGCUUUUCAUCCACCCGUGGUAUUGUGUGUGGCAAUAUUCAUUUUCACUAGUGUGACAGUAUUUCAUUGGGUGAGUACUCCACAAUUCUAUUCUCCCCAAAAUACAUGUAGCGUGAAUCUAUAUUUAUAAUGCUCAAAAACAGCUACAAAUCAUAUAUUAUAUUGCAAAACAAUACUUGAUAGAACUAUUUUUUUUUUAAAGCCAAGUAAUGAUAAAGACAAAUUUCAAGAUAAUGUUUCCUUGGGGAAGGGGGAGAUUGACAUUGGGGAUGGGAUGAGAGAAUGUAUCUGUUAUCUAUUGCUGCAUAAGGAACCAUACUGAAGCUUAGUGGCUUAAAACAAAAAUCAAUUAUUUCUCAUGAUUCUCUGGGUCAAGACUUCCCACAGGGUUCUUCCACACAGAACCAUCUGGCCCUCUCGUGCAACUGCAUUCAGCGGGACUGGGCUGGAUGGUCAAGAUGGCCACCCUCAAGGCUGCUAUGCCGUGGACCUUUUCUACUUGAUUUCUCUCACCAUGUGGUGUCUCAUCCUCCAGGGCCUCUUUUUCCAUGUGGCCUUUCCCUCCAGCAGGGUAGACUGGAUGUUCUUUACAAGGAGAAAACACCCACACA